CAGGGAAAAGACUGAGGGCCUGACUAUGACUCCAGCUCAGUGAGCCUCUGAAGGACCUUCACUGCCCCUGGCAGGAUAUUAAACAGAAGUCACGAUACCUGUUACAUAGCACUUCCUAUCUACAUAAACCAACAGGCUUCAUCUAAGAGGCUAAAUGCUUUAACUCCGUUUCAUAGAUGGAGAUGGUGAGAUACAGAAAAUGAACUGAUGACCUCAGCCCUAGAGUACGCAACAGGAGAGCUUGGAAAGGAACAAGAAAAUAUCUACUAUGAAUAAUAUUGUCCCUACAAAGCAGACGUAUCCAUUGAAGCAAUGAGUGACUUUGAUGGCUGAAUGAGCAGCAGGAAAUACAGCAGAUGUUCCACUCAACUACAGGA